rnacentral:rRNA from 1 species
UACGUAGGGGGCAAGCGUUGUCCGGAUUUAUUGGGCGUAAAGAGCGUGUAGGCGGCCAAACAGGUCCACUGUGAAAACUCGAGGCUCAACCUCGAGACGUCGGUGGAAACCGUCUGGCUAGAGUCCGGAAGAGGAGAGUGGAAUUCCCGGUGUAGCGGUGGAAUGCGCAGAUAUCAGGAAGAACACCAACGGCGAAGGCAGCUCGCUGGGACGGUACUGACGCUGAGACGCGAAAGCGUGGGGAGCGAACAGG